AGGAUAAACGCUGGCGGCGUGCCUAACACAUGCAAGUCGAACGCGCUUUUUUCGCAAGAGGAGAGCGAGUGGCGGACGGGUGAGUAACACAUGGGUACCUACCUUGGAGUGAGGGAUACCGGCGAGAAAUCGCCGACAAUACCGCAUACGCUUCUCUUCACCGGGAAGCAAAGUUGCGCAAGCGACGCUCUGAGAUGGGCCUGUGGCCGAUUAGCUAGUUGGUGGGGUAACGGCCUACCAAGGCGACGAUCGGUAGCUGGUCUGAGAGGACGAUCAGCCACACUGGGAUUGAGAACGGCCCAGACUCCUACGGGGGGCAGCAGUGAGGAAUUUUCCGCAAUGGACGCAAGUCUGACGGAGCAACGCCGCGUGCAGGAUGAAGGUUUUCGGAUCGUAAACUGCUUUUCGUCGGGGACGAGCAAGGACGGUACCCGAGGAAGAAGCCCCGGCUAACUACGUGCCAGCAGCCGC
rnacentral:rRNA from 1 species